rnacentral:rRNA from 1 species
AGAGUUUGAUCCUGGCUCAGGAUGAACGCUAGCUACAGGCUUAACACAUGCAAGUCGAGGGGCAGCAUUUCAGUUUGCUUGCAAACUGGAGAUGGCGACCGGCGCACGGGUGAGUAACACGUAUCCAACCUGCCGAUAACUCGGGGAUAGCCUUUCGAAAGAAAGAUUAAUACCCGAUGGUAUAAUCAGACCGCAUGGUCUUGUUAUUAAAGAAUUUCGGUUAUCGAUGGGGAUGCGUUCCAUUAGGCAGUUGGUGAGGUAACGGCUCACCAAACCUUCGAUGGAUAGGGGUUCUGAGAGGAAGGUCCCCCACAUUGGAACUGAGUCACGGUCCAAAAUCCUACGGGAGGCAGCA